rnacentral:rRNA from 1 species
AUUGAACGCUGGCGGCAUGCCUUACACAUGCAAGUCGAACGGUAACAGGUCUUCGGAUGCUGACGAGUGGCGAACGGGUGAGUAAUACAUCGGAACGUGCCUAGUAGUGGGGGAUAACUACUCGAAAGAGUGGCUAAUACCGCAUGAGAUCUACGGAUGAAAGCAGGGGAUCGCAAGACCUUGUGCUACUAGAGCGGCCGAUGGCAGAUUAGGUAGUUGGUGGGAUAAAAGCUUACCAAGCCGACGAUCUGUAGCUGGUCUGAGAGGACGAUCCGCCACGCUGGGACGGAGAACCGGCCCAGACUCCUACGGGAGGCAGCAGUGGGGAAUUUUGGACAAUGGGCGCAAGCCUGAUCCAGCAAUGCCGCGUGCAGGAUGAAGGCCUUCGGGUUGUAAACUGCUUUUGUACGGAACGAAAAGCCCUGGGUUAAUACCCUGGGGUCAUGACGGUACCGUAAGAAUAAGCACCGGCUAACUACGUGCCAGCCGCCGCAGUAACAC